GCCCGGGUGGCGCAACUGGAAGACGCAUCCCGCUUAAAACGGGUCUGUUGUGGGUUCGAGUCCCACCCCGGGUA
rnacentral:tRNA from 1 species